CCAACUGCUUUCAUAUUACUAUAUUCACACAGAACACUUCACUUCUAACACUGUAGCUGAGGCUGUGGGUUUUUCCCUCACCAGGCAACUCUGCAACACCAGCUGGGUGUCCUGUAGUUUCACUCAGCUUUGACACUGUCUGCCUUGAGAUGGCAUCUGAUCCCACAGGUUAAGGGCUCAGUCCCGUGAGACUAUUCCAUCACAUUCAGGUGCCAAUCACACGUAGGAGGGGCCCAGGUUACCUACAACUUCUCUACAACUUGGCUGCAAAUCAGAGGUUCCUUCAACUCCUCCUCUGGUUCAACUGAGUGGCUCACAGAUCUCUGGGAAACAUUUGUUUUCAUUUACAAUUUAUGAAAGGUAUGAUGAAGGAUACAGAUGAACAGUCAGAUGCAGAGACACAAAGGGCACAUUCUGGGAGGGUCCCAAGCACAGGAAUGUCUAUUCCUGUGGAUCAGGGUUUCAUCUCCCUCCUGGUACCUGGAUAUGUUUACUCACCUGGAAGUUCCCUGAAACCCCUGCUAUGAGGAUUUUUAUGGAGGCUUCCUUACAUAUAUGUGCUCUGCUUUCAGCCCCCUCCCCUCUCUGGGGGAAUGUAGGGGUUGGGGUGGGGUGCUGAAGAUUCUAAGUUCUAAUCAUUGUGUGGUCUUCCUGGUGAUGUGUCCUCACUGAGGAGCCAUCUGGGAGCCCACCCAGAGUUGUGUUAUUAGAACAAAAUAUUAAACUCAAAAUGGAUGAAAGACCUCAAUACAUCCCCCAUUUGAGACCAAUGCCAGUGUAUGUACAUUACUACAACUCAAGACAAUGAAAACAUUUAUAGUAUAAAAAUUCCAUACAUGG